CACGUAGGGUGCGAGCGUUGUCCGGAAUUAUUGGGCGUAAAGAGCUCGUAGGCGGUCUGUCGCGUCUGCUGUGAAAACUCGGGGCUUAACCCCGGGACUGCAGUGGGUACGGGCAGACUAGAGUGCGGUAGGGGAGACUGGAAUUCCUGGUGUAGCGGUGAAAUGCGCAGAUAUCAGGAGGAACACCGGUGGCGAAGGCGGGUCUCUGGGCCGUAACUGACGCUGAGGAGCGAAAGCAUGGGGAGCGAACAGG
rnacentral:rRNA from 1 species